rnacentral:rRNA from 1 species
AUAGCGUAUAUUAAAGUUGUUGCAGUUGAAAAGUUCGUAGUUGGAUUUCUGGGUUUGGGUGUUGGUUCGCCGCAAGGUGUAUACUGACACUGGAGCCCAUCCUCUCGAAGACGAGGCGUGCUCUUAACCGGGUGCGUCGUGGACUCGAGACUUUUACUUUGAAAAAAUUAGAGUGUUCAAAGCAGGCUUACGCUUGAAUACUUCAGCAUGGAAUAAUGGAAUAGGACUUUGGUUUUAUUUUGUUGGUUUCUAAGACCGAAGUAAUGAUUAAUAGGGACAGUUGGGGGCAUUAGUAUUUAAUUGUCAGAGGUGAAAUUCUUGGAUUUAUGAAAGACUAACUUCUG